UGCAGUCGAGCGGUAACAGACAUAAAGAUUCAGCUUGCUGAAUCCGGUGCUGACGAGCGGCGAACGGGUGAGUAACGCGUAGGAAUCUACCCAGUAGCGGGGGAUAGCCCGAGGAAACUCGGAUUAAUACCGCAUACGCCCUGAGGGGGAAAGGGGGCAGUUUACUGCUCUCACUAUUGGAUGAGCCUGCGUAAGAUUAGCUUGUUGGUAGGGUAAUGGCCUACCAAGGCGACGAUCUUUAGCUGGUCUGAGAGGACGAUCAGCCACAUUGGGACUGAGACACGGCCCAGACAUCUACGGAUGGCAGCAGUUAAGAAUAUUGGACAAUGGGGGCAACCCUGAUCCAGGUAUACCGCGUGUGUGAAGAAGGCCCUAGGGUUGUAAAGCACUUUAAUCAGAGAAGAAGCAAUUUAAGUUAAUACCUUAUUUUGUUGACGUUACCUGAAGAAUAAGGACCGGCUAACUCCGUGCCAGCAGCCGCGGUAAUACGGAGGGUCCAAGCGUUAAUCGGAAUUACUGGGCGUAAAGCGCGCGUAGGCGGUUUAGCAAGUUGUAUGUGAAAGCCCUGGGCUCAACCUAGGAACUGCAUCCAAAACUACUAAGCUAGAGUACGAGAGAGGAGAGUAGAAUUUCUGGUGUAGCGGUGAAAUGCGUAGAUAUCAGAAGGAAUACCAAUGGCGAAGGCAGCUCUCUGGCUCGCCACUGACGCUGAGGUGCGAAAGCGUGGGUAGCAAACAGGAUUAGAUACCCUGGUAGUCCACGCCGUANACGAUGACAACUAGCCGUUGGGCAGAUUUAACUGUUCAGUGGCACAGCUAACGCAUUAAGUUGUCCGCCUGGGG
rnacentral:rRNA from 1 species